rnacentral:lncRNA from 1 species
GACAGAGCACCCGGACCCGCGGCGGCAGCGGCAGCGACGCUACCCACCCUCUUCCCCAACACCCACCUAGCCAGCGAGUCACCGAGCCACCGGCCCUCGGGCCGGCGCCUCGGUUCCUGCCCAGCUGGAUUUGGGGGGCAGCAUUGCCUGGCGCAGGGAGAUCAAAUGAGACUGCAAAGAAGCAUAAAAUGAAUAGACAAUCCAACCAACCAAAGACCGGGGGCAGCAGCAGGCCAGCAAGACGGCAUCUUCUCCUUCCCAGCCUAGAAGCCCUGUGAAAUCGAGGAUCUUCCCCCUAAAACACAUACACACAAGAUAUGUGCAAUCAAGCUGCCACCGCUUGGUAAAAAGCCAUGGUGCCUAACCAAAAAGGAUCAGGAACAGAUCCUUGAAUCAGCUGUCACUUCUAUAGAAUGGGAUUUUUUUUUCCUUCCUCCUUAACCUGCGCUGGAAAUUGCCGUUGGCUUUAUACAUCUCUAUAGAGAGAGGCUAAAGAGUCUUGCGUGAGAAAGAAGCAAUUUACAAUGCAAAUAGAGGCCUGUGAAGGGACGGAUGCUGCUGCUCACUCGUAACAGCUUGCUGCACCUUAAUAGCUGGUUUUAUUUUCUGAUAUUAAUAGAUGAAUUGUUGGCUAACGCUGCCGGAGAUUACUUGCUGAAAGGAAAAAGAAAAGUUCGGAAUAAACUCUGAAGGCAACAGAUCUCGUUUGGAUGUUUUAGCCGCGCACACACACAAACAGAAACCAGGUCAUAUUUACAUAAAAGGAGGAAUCUUAAGCGCGGCAAGUAUCCUGGACGACCACUCUUCGGUACUGCCAGAAAGGAUCAGGACCUGGAGUCUGGCAAGAGGAAGACAGAGGCCUGUGUGGGAAGCGAGUUGUUAUCUUUGGUUAUCUAGCUGUAUGAGUGUAUUGGUCUUCAUAAAGCUAGAUAACCGAAAGUAAAAACUCCUUCAAGAUCGCCGGGGAGCGUGUGAGAAUGAAAGACUACAGCCGAGAGACAGUAAAAACCAGAAAGGUCAGGAAUACUUAUUGAAUCUAACUUUGUUUUUGUUUUGUUUUUUUCCUUAUGAUUAAAGGUGGGAUGAGAGAAAAUUAAAUGACACACACAUGCUAAAAUAUCAAGGUUCCAGAUAUGUCUUGAGAGGGGUUGUUGCAGCUGCAAAGGAGAAGUGUAUAGUGAUAAUGAGUAAAGAUGCAUGUGCAGUUUGUUCUAUUUUAAGGCAAAAGUUAUAUCAGGGAUUUUUUUCUUAGAAAGGUGUUGCAGAGAUGUCUGGUACCUAGUUUAAAAAUGAUUCCAUAAUAUGUAGACUUGGGCAGUUCCUUUGGGAGGCACCUCCCUCUCAAAAUUUGAAGAUUGUGCUUGGAAAUUACUUUACAUGUAUUUGGGCUGUAUGUCAAUUUGUACGAAAUUAGACUUUCAGAAAAGUUUAUACUGGAAGGUUAAUAAUUUGUAUCUACUGAGGACUUAGAGCUAGCAGGCAAAAUGAAAAAAAAAAAAAAAAAA